rnacentral:rRNA from 1 species
AUUGAACGCUGGCGGCAUGCUUUACACAUGCCAGUCGAACGGCAGCGCGGGCUUCGGCCUGGCGGCGAGUGGCGAACGGGUGAGUAAUGCAUCGGAACGUGCCCAGUAGUGGGGGAUAGCCCGGCGAAAGCCGGAUUAAUACCGCAUACGACCUGAGGGUGAAAGCGGGGGACCGAAAGGCCUCGCGCUAUUGGAGCGGCCGAUGUCGGAUUAGCUAGUUGGUGGGGUAAAGGCUUACCAAGGCGACGAUCCGUAGCUGGUCUGAGAGGACGACCAGCCACACUGGGACUGAGACACGGCCCAGACUCCUACGGGAGGCAGCAGUGGGGAAUUUUGGACAAUGGGGGCAACCCUGAUCCAGCCAUGCCGCGUGCGGGAAGAAGGCCUUCGGGUUGUAACCGCUUUUGUUCGGGAAGAAAUCCUCUGGGCUAAUACCCCGGGGGGAUGACGGUACCGGAAGAAUAAGCACCGGCUAACUACGUG